GAUGAACGCUAGCGGGAGGCUUAACACAUGCAAGUCGAGGGGCAGCAUAGGGUAGCAAUACUCUGAUGGCGACCGGCAAACGGGUGAGUAACGCGUAUGCAACCUACCCUGUACAGGGGGAUAACCCGGAGAAAUUCGGACUAAUAUCCCGUAAUAAUAUCCGGAGGCAUCUUUGGAUAUUUAAAGUUCCGACGGUACGGGAUGGGCAUGCGUAACAUUAACUGGUUGGUAAGGUAACGGCUUACCAAGGCUAUGAUGUUUAGGGGUCCUGAGAGGGUGGUCCCCCACACUGGUACUGAGACACGGACCAGACUCCUACGGGAGGCAGCAGUGAGGAAUAUUGGUCAAUGGGCGCAAAGCCUGAACCAGCCAUCCCGCGUGCAGGAAGACGGCCCUAUGGGUUGUAAACUGCUUUUCCAGGGAGAGAAACUUACGCACGUGUUGCGUGACUGACGGUACCCUGGGAAUAAGCAUCGGCUAACUCCGUG
rnacentral:rRNA from 1 species